UCGAGAAUCUUCCGCAAUGGACGAAAGUCUGACGGAGCGACGCCGCGUGCGGGAUGAAGGCUUUCGGGUUGUAAACCGCUGUCAGUGGGGAGCAAAUGCAUAGGGGCUAUCCUCUAUGUUUGAGCAAUCCGCAGAGGAAGCACAGGCUAAGUUCGUGCCAGCAGCCGCGGUAACACGAACUGUGCAAACGUUAUUCGGAAUCACUGGGCUUAAAGAGUCCGUAGGCUGCCUGGUAGGUGGGGUGUGAAAUCCCACGGCUCAACCGUGGAAUUGCGCUCCAAACCACUAGGCUUGAGGGAGAUAGAGGAGAGCGGAACUGAUGGUGGAGCGGUGAAAUGCGUUGAUAUCAUCAGGAACACCGGUGGCGAAAGCGGCUCUCUGGGUCUCUUCUGACGCUGAGGGACGAAAGCUAGGGGAGCGAACGGGAUUAGAUACCCCCGUAGUCC
rnacentral:rRNA from 1 species